rnacentral:rRNA from 1 species
CCCAGCACCGAAUCCCGCGGUCGAUACGCCGCGGGAAAUGUGGUGUUAGGGAGGGUCCAUUAUUCCGAGAUCAUGCGGCGCGUCCAAGUCCUUCUUGAACGGGGCCACAGCCCAUAGAGGGUGCCAGGCCCGUAGCGACCGCUGCUGAUCGCGGGAGGAUCUCUCCUCAGAGUCGGGUUGCUUGAGAGUGCAGCCCUAAGUGGGUGGUAAACUCCAUCUAAGGCUAAAUAUGACCACGAGACCGAUAGCGAACAAGUACCGUGAGGGAAAGUUGAAAAGCACUUUGAAGAGAGAGUUCAAGAGUACGUGAAACCGUUUAGGGGUAAACCUGAGAACCCCGAAAGGUCGAAGGGAGAAAUUCAUUCGCGUUUCGAUGUUGGCGUGAGGCGGUCAUGUGACGGAGAGGGUUCGCUCGAUCCGCGCCUUCCGUUUUUCGAUCCGACGUCGAACGCGUGCACUUUUCUCCUGGUAGGACGUCGCGAUCCGUUGGGCGUCGAUCUACGGCCCGAGGUGGAGCCCGCAUGGUUUCGUGCCAAGCGGACCCUCGGUGUCCUGGCCGACUCGCUCGACGGUAUACGAACGGUCGAGGGCCGCUUUCAUAGCGUUCGACUCGUUGCAAGCGCGUCGGAAGCGUCGGAUACCGGAUCUGAUGCCGUUACCGACCUCCGAUGGCCGUUGGCGACGAAGUUCUCGGACAGACCCUCAUGACCGAUCAGCGACGCUAUAGCUUUGGGUACUUUCAGGACCCGUCUUGAAACACGGACCAAGGAGUCUAGCAUGUGCGCGAGUCAUUGGGAAUCACUAAACCUAAAGGCGUAAUGAAAGUAAAGGUUCGUCUUGCACGAGCCAAGGAAGAUGAGCGAGUUUGCCCUUAAAAGCGGCCGCACCGCACUCCCGAAAGCGUCUCGUUCUCAUCGCGAGAAGAGGCGCACCAAGAGCGUACACGCUGGACCCGAAAGAUGUGAACUAUGCCUGGUC